AUUGAACGCUGGCGGCAGGCCUAACACAUGCGAGUCGAACGAGUGGCGGACGGGUGAGUAAUGUCUGGGAAACUGCCAGAUGGAGGGGGAUAAAUACUGGAAACGGUAGCUAAUACCGCAUAUCAUCGGAUGUGCCCAGAUGGGAUUGGCUAGUAGGUGGGGUAAAGGCUAACCUAGGAGACGAUCCCUAGCUGGUCGUAGAGGAUGAUCAGUCACACUUGAACUGAGACUCGGUCCAGACUCCUCCGGUAGGCAGCAGUGGGGUAUAUUGGACAAUGGGCGAAAGCCUGAUCCAGCCAUGCCGCGUGUGUGAAGAAGGGCUUCGGAUUGUAACGCACUUUAAGUUGGGAGGCGUUACCAACAGAAUAAGCACCGGCUAACUUCGUGCCAGCAGCCGCGGUAAUUC
rnacentral:rRNA from 1 species